UCCGUAGGUGGCAAUCGUUGUCCGGAAUUAUUGGGCGUAAAGCGCGCGCAGGCGGUCCUUUAAGGCUGAUGUGAAAACCCACGGCUCAACCGUUGAGGGUCAUUGGAAACUGGGGGACUUGAGUACAGAAGAGGAAAGCGGAAUUCCACGUGUAGCGGUGAAAUGCGUAGAGAUGUGGAGGAACACCAGUGGCGAAGGCGGCUUUCUGGUCUGUAACUGACGCUGAGGCGCGAAAGCGUGGGGAGAAAACAGG
rnacentral:rRNA from 1 species